rnacentral:lncRNA from 1 species
UUGUUUGAGAUCCUCGCCCUUUCGCUUGAUUUGGCGGUGGAAGGGUGGAUUUGAAUGUCGAAUUCAUUUUUCCUUCCUCUGCUUUUUCAGGUUUUCUAGAUGGCUGAGGGAUCUCAAAGUGACUUCGCGUUCGUAGAUCAACAGCCUUCCUCAUCGAUUCGCAUCCGAGCCGACGUUUCGUGGGUUGCGGAUGAACCCCGAGAGACGGAGUCAGUUUAUCAGGGUUGCGAGAGUGACAUCCCAGAGACGAUGUGCACGGAUAUUCAGACUCCUCCCACCGAAGAUUUCGAGGUGCGGAUUCCCACUGCUCGCCACCGGAUCUGCGGCAACUGGGCUUGGGGGACGAUUCC